GAUGAAGAACGUAGCGAAAUGCGAUACUUGGUGUGAAUUGCAGAAUCCCGCGAAUCAUCGAGUUUUUGAACGCAAGUUGCGCCCGAAGCCAUUCGGCCGAGGGCACGUCUGCCUGGGUGUCACGCAUCGUUGCCCCCCCAAACUCCGGUUCGGGCGGGGCGGAAGUUGGCCUCCCGUGCGUGCCUGCGCGCGCGGUUAGCCCAAAAGCGAGUCCUCGGCGACGAGCGCCACGACAAUCGGUGGUUUUUUUACCCUCGUUCCUCGUCGUGCGUGUCCCGUCGCCCGAACGCGCUCUUGCGACCCUCACGCGUCGCCUCGGCGGCGCUCCCAACGCGACCCCAGGUCAGGCGGGACUACCCGCUGAGUUUAAGCAUAUCAAUAAGCGGAGA
rnacentral:misc_RNA from 1 species